GCUGUCUCUGGCAGCAUAUACACUAAAACUGGAACAGUACAGAGAUUAGCACCACCUUGUACAGGAUGAAACAAAAAUUUGUGAAACAUUCUAUAUCUUU
rnacentral:snRNA from 1 species